ACUGUAAAUGUAGCUUUGUAGUGUGAAGCGAAUUAGACUCUAAUUAUUAUUAUUAGACUUAUAAAAUUUAUGUAGCGGCUCUUUGAAGGUAUGAGAAAAUCUACAAACUUGAUAUUUGGCUCAUCUGAUUGGUAAGUCUGCCGACCCCUGGCCUAGACGAUCACUUUUAUUA